rnacentral:rRNA from 1 species
GACAGAGGGUGCAAACGUUGUUCGGAAUUACUGGGCGUAAAGCGCGUGUAGGCUGUCUUGAAAGUCGGGUGUGAAAGCCCCGGGCUCAACCUGGGAAGUGCACUCGAAACUUCGAGACUCGAGUCCUGGAGAGGAAGGCGGAAUUCUCGGUGUAGAGGUGAAAUUCGUAGAUAUCGAGAGGAACACCGGUGGCGAAGGCGGCCUUCUGGACAGUGACUGACGCUGAGACGCGAAAGCGUGGGGAGCAAACAGG